UUCUCAUUUUCCUCCUCCAUUUUUUCCCGAGAAAAUCGCCUUCACGGGAAAUCACAGGGAAAAAAAAACUUGCGUUAUUUGAGAAAUCUUUUCGGUGCUUCGUUUUAGACUGUUCCUGGAGACCGUAAUCGUGCAAUGGCAUGCUUAUGAACCUCUGAUUUACUCAGUUUGGUCGCCGCAAAAAUCAGCGGACAUGAAGAACGUAGGCAACACGAAGACACGAAGCACUCAGACUCAGCUAGACAAGAAGAGGACGUUGAACACAUGCACAUGCAAUCGGAGGAACAAAAAGGAAAGAAGCCAAUCAACCCAA